rnacentral:lncRNA from 1 species
GUUCAUCCCUUAUUCGCUUUGCAAUACCAUUUCGACUUCCUGACGUCUUCGAGCGUACACGUCUCGUCCAAAUCCUUUACGAGAAUAAGAUAAUACUAUAGUCACUAAACAAUAUAUCGCAUAUACAUAUCACGUAUACCGAUACCCACUUAUAUACCCCUCUUUAAACUUAUCACAUAUCACUUAACACAUAAUCAUGCUUUGACUCUACCAAAUAGUCAAGUCAUAUUCCACAUAACAUAUUAUCAAUCAAUUAUCCUAUAAAUCUUAUCGAUAAUUUGACAGCGUCUCCUCUAUUUAUUAGAGUAUCCCCCUGUCAACAUAUUCCAAACAAUCAACUCCAGUCACUAUAAUCCAUAUAUUCUUAUCCAAUAUCAAUCAUACGAAUCAUUUAUCACUUCACAAUAUCAAAACUAACACGUACUUCACAUAAUCAUCACCUAAUAGCACUUAGAUCACAUAUUAUCACAUUAUGCAUACUUAUCAACAAUUAUUCACCUUAUAGACUCAGCCAUAUAGUCACAUCAUAUUAAAAUAGACGUUAUAAGCUUCUGUCUCUCUUUCGUUUCACUUGAUUCCGACUUACGGAUCAAAAGUUAUGCUCAAAACAGUUUUCUCACUCUCCUAUCGGCACAUAACACAUCCAACCAAUAGCAGACAACACACAACACAUAAGGUUUCCCAUCCCAAUUGAUAUUAAAUCAAGUCUUGGGUUAAAAAUGAUUUUUCGGGAAUUUUCCAGAAUUUUUAAACAUUUUUCGGAAUUAAAAUCGAUAAAAGAAUCACUUUUUGAAUAAAUAAUCAAGUCCGGAUGCUCAAAACUGGACUUGAAAUCAUUCAUAAACAAUUGUCGAGCCUUGAACAUAAUUUGGAAAAAUAUUUUAAAGCUCGAAACUAUUUUUCGGAAUUUUUAAAUCAAAAAGGAUUAAUUAAAUCCAAUUAAUU